GAUGAACGCUGGCGGCGUGCCUAAUACAUGCAAGUCGAGCGAACAGACGAGGAGCUUGCUCCCUUGACGUUAGCGGCGGACGGGUGAGUAACACGUGGAUAACCUAUCUAUAAGAGUGGGAUAACUUCGGGAAACAGGAGCUAAUAUACGAUAACAUUGUGAACCGCAUGGUUCAACAGUGAAAGACGGUGUUUCUGUCACUAAUGGAUGGUUCCGCGCCGCAUUAGCUAGUUGGUAAGGUAACGGCUUACCAAGGCAACGAUGCGUAGCCGACCUGAGAGGGUGAUCGGCCACACUGGAACUGAGACACGGUCCAGACUCCUACGGGAGGCAGCAGUAGGGAAUCUUCCGCAAUGGGCGAAAGCCUGACGGAGCAACGCCGCGUGAGUGAAGAAGGUCUUCGGAUCGUAAAACUCUGUUAUUAGGGAAGAACAAAUGUGUAAGUAACUAUGCACGUCUUGACGGUACCUAAUCAGAAAGCCACGGCUAACUACGUG
rnacentral:rRNA from 1 species